rnacentral:lncRNA from 1 species
GAGGCCGUUGACCACCUGGAGGAUGCCCUUCAGGGAGGCAUCAGGUAGAGAUCAGGCAGAAAACUGGAGGAGAAGAUGUCGGAGAAGAUGACCAGCAGCGGUCCCGUUGAGCACUCCUUUAAGAACAAGGGUACUGCAAAGAUACAGGCCCCCCUUCCUCUAGCGCCAAUCCUGUUGGUGCAAAAAUCCACCGGCAUCAG